UACGACUACAUAUCAGGCAUAUCAAUAAGCGGAGGAAAAGAAACUAACAAGGAUUCCCUUAGUAACGGCGAGUGAAGCGGGAAGAGCUCAAAUCUGAAAUCCUCAAGGUUCUACCUUGACGAAUUGUAGUUUAAAGAAGUGUUUUCUGUUAGUGGAGUGGCAAAAGUUCUCUGGAAUAGGACAUCAUAGAGGGUGAGAAUCCCGUAUUUGACCAUUAUUUUCAGCUGUGUGAUACACUUUCAAAGAGUCGGAUUGUUUGGGAAUGCAGUCCAAAAUGGGUGGUAAAUUUCAUCUAAAGCUAAAUAUUGGCGAGAGACCGAUAGCGAACAAGUACCGUGAGGGAAAGAUGAAAAGAACUUUGAAAAGAGAGUUAAACAGUACGUGAAAUUGUCAAAAGGGAAGCGUUUGACACCAGUGUUGUUUUCUCGAAAAUCAAUUAAAAAGAGUUGGAUUUUGUGUUGUAUUGACCUUAACAGCUUGCUUCACUCUUUUCCAGCUUUUUUUAAUGCACUUUUCGUUUAACAAGUCAACAUCAGUUUCUUUUGUUGUAAAAGGGUCAUUGGAAGGUGGCUUUCUCUUCGGAGAAAGUGUUUAUAGCCUUUGAUCUCUGCAAUCGGAGAGACUGAGGUCUGCAGCGUAGAUCCUUCGGGGUUAGAUACAUUUGUGCUAAGCUACAGCUUUUCAUAGACAACUUGUUGACUAUGUUUAGUCUUGUGACUUACCCGCUUAUGCUAUUUUACCUACGCUUAGGAUGUUGAGCGCAUGUCUCUCUCU
rnacentral:rRNA from 1 species